rnacentral:rRNA from 1 species
AGUGGGGAAUCUUGCACAAUGGAGGGAACUCUGAUGCAGCGACGUCGCGUGAACGAUGAAGGCUUUCGAGUCGUAAAGUUCUGUCCUAUGGGACGAUAAUGACGGUACCAUAGGAGGAAGUCCCGGCUAACUACGUGCCAGCAACCGCGGUAAUACGUAGGGGGCGAACGUUGUCCGGAUUUAUUGGGCGUAAAGGGUACGCAGGCGGCCAUGUAAGUCAGAUGUGAAAUCCUAGGGCUUAACCCUAGUUAGCAUUUGAAACUGUGUGGCUUGAGUUAAGGAGAGGAAAGUGGAAUUCCUAGUGUAGCGGUGAAAUGCGUAGAUAUUAGGAGGAAUACCAGUGGCGAAGGCGACUUUCUGGACUUAUACUGACGCUGAGGUACGAAAGCGUGGGGAGCAAACAGGAUUAGAUACCCUGGUAGUCCACGCCGUAAACGAUGAGUGCUAGGUGUCGGGGGUCAAACCUCGGUGCCGCAGCUAACGCAUUAA